rnacentral:rRNA from 1 species
UACGUAGGGGGCUAGCGUUGUCCGGAAUCAUUGGGCGUAAAGCGCGCGUAGGCGGCCCGGUAAGUCCGUUGUGAAAGUCAAAGGCUCAACCUUUGAAAGCCGAUGGAUACUGCCGGGCUGGAGUCCGGAAGAGGCGAGUGGAAUUCCUGGUGGUAGCGGUGGAAUGCGCAGAUAUCAGGAGGAACACCAAUAGCGAAGGCAGCUCGCUGGGACGGUACUGACGCUGAGGCGCGAAAGCGUGGGGAGCGAACAGG